rnacentral:rRNA from 1 species
UAAGGAAUAUUGGUCAAUGGACGCAAGUCUGAACCAGCCAUGCCGCGUGAAGGAUGAAGGUCCUCUGGAUUGUAAACUUCUUUUAUCUGGGACGAAAACGGGAUUUUUAUCUCAAUUGACGGUACCAGAGGAAUAAGCACCGGCUAACUCCGUUCCAGCAGCCGCGGUAAUACGGAGGGUGCGAGCGUUAUCCGGAUUUACUGGGUUUAAAGGGUGCGUAGGUGGGCUUAUAAGUCAGUGGUGAAAUCUCCGAGCUUAACUUGGAAACUGCCGUUGAUACUAUAGGUCUUGAAUUAUCUGGAGGUAAGCGGAAUAUGUCAUGUAGCGGUGAAAUGCUUAGAUAUGACAUAGAACACCAAUUGCGAAGGCAGCUUACUACAUAUAAAUUGACGCUGAGGCACGAAAGCGUGGGGAUCAAACA